UCCUCUCCAGAGUCCAGGCAACAGCAGUGUGCCCAGCGUCCCUAUUCCUGCAUGUUUUUGCAUCAGCCGGUGACUGAUGAGUGAGUGAGCUAGGACGCUGGGCUGGCCAGCCUCGAUCUUGGCUCCCAUUAGAGUGGGCAGCUAAAGACAGUGCAACGCUGCCGUGGACUAGAUGGGCAAAGCAGCAGCACAGGGCCGACCCUUUGGAAGGGCAUGCCAGCGGGGGCACACAUGGGGAGUAAUGGUGGGAGCUGCCGGCCGCUGCACUGCGUGGUAGAAACAAAUAUGAGGUCAGAGCUGGCUGGAGAGACCCAUGCAUGAUGGGGGAAGGAACCUUGUGAUAUGGAGCUGCAGCAUAGCAUAGGGAAGGGCCGAUGCACAUGCCAAUGCCACUGCCGAUCAGAGACACACUCCUAUUUCUUAAAGAUUGCACACAUACAAGAGGAGUCAGUCACUGCGUCCUGCAGCGUGAAGAGGGAAUAGGAAGCAAUAUUGGGGAGACACGGGCAGCUGUUGAGUCCAGAGAAGGGGGGGUGGUGGCCUUGGUACACUGCUCACAUGAGAAAGAUCAGAGGAGUGUAAUAAUAUAAAGGCAUGGCAUGUGAUGGUGAUUGGUGCGUUUGGUGCUCCUCCAGGAAACACUCAUCAGUCUCCCGUAGCAUCAGUUACUGCAAUAAUUAAAGUCCAAAACGCAGCUAGUUGUACGUUAGCAUGUUUAUCCAACCAAGAAGGCGAAGGCACAGGAUAUGAAAGAAAGAAAAAGAAGAAAAGGAUGGAAAGGAACGGAGACACAAGAUUGCAAAUGGAGGCAACAGGACUACAGAAGAGUAGGUGGGCUAAACAACGGGGGGAGGUGCAUCAGAGCAUAGCAUGGAGAAGUGUGAGCUUGGGGCCAAAGGAAAGGAGCGCGCUGACGACGCCCAUAUGCUUUGGUUCUAGCACAACAUUAAGUAGCGAGAAAGACGGUGGUGGUGAUGACCAAGAUUCAUGAGAGCCUGCGAAAGCUCUCAUUAGUGCUGGAAAUGAAGGUUGUUUAUGCGCUUUACCUGCCUUGUGCCAAAUCCCCUAAUCAAGCUGUUUGGAAUCUGUUGUUAAAAUUGAAAGGUCCUGUACUGCUGUUAAAGUGUCGUGUAUGCAGUUCAAGUAGAUGCAUCAUGCCACCUGCAUAUGUUGGCAGUUGUUGGGAGUAUAUUACUGACAUUAUUUCUGCUGCAGUUUCCCAUUAUUAUACCCGAAUGUAUUCGGUACUUCAAUUGACAUUUUUGUGUAAAAUUCUCAGGGCAGAUGCAAUAAUGCUUGCUUGCUCGGUUGGGUGGAGUGAUAUCUGAAAGCAGGACUGCAUGAGGUAGACCCUUUGGCACCAGCCUGCCAAGUUGAAGGAGCAUAGUAUAUAAUUCAGUUGCCGUUGCACCAUCUCUUCAUUGCCAUGGCAUCACUCACACCUCCUCUUUCCUGUAAGGACGCUGCUCCCCCACUUUGUUCAGAUCUCUUUGGUCUCGUCUUUCCUUAAAGCACGGGGAAAUAAAUACUACUACACACUCCGCAUGAGGUGGUGGGGUUGUAGUUUCAUGGGAAUUUGGUUCUCCUCCCCACUCUCCUCCCUGACUUCCAGCCUUUGUUUUAUCCUUGACCAAUUUCACCACAGACCAGCCCUGCUUUCUUUUGAGAUUUCACUAGGUUUGGAUUGAUUUUAUGUGAUUUUUCUUGGUAUUAAAGGAUGUCACAUGAAGCUUGCCUAUCCCUGUUUUAGGGUCCCCUACAUAAAAAUUGUGUUAAUGGCAUUUGGAUCUUUCAGAUGCUGAUGGGAAUUCUCAUGUCCUUUGUUAAUUAAUGGCAAUGG